AGCGAACGCUGGCGGCAGGCCUAACACAUGCAAGUCGAACGAACUCUUCGGAGUUAGUGGCGGACGGGUGAGUAACACGUGGAACGUGCCUUUUGGUUCGGAAUAACUCAGGGAAACUUGUGCUAAUACCGAAUGUGCCCUUCGGGGGAAAGAUUUAUCGCCAUUAGAGCGGCCCGCGUCUGAUUAGCUAGUUGGUGAGGUAACGGCUCACCAAGGCGACGAUCAGUAGCUGGUCUGAGAGGAUGACCAGCCACACUGGGACUGAGACACGGCCCAGACUCCUACGGGAAGCAGCAGUGGGGAAUCUUGCGCAAUGGGCGAAAGCCUGACGCAGCCAUGCCGCGUGAAUGAUGAAGGUCUUAGGAUUGUAAAAUUCUUUCACCGGGGACGAUAAUGACGGUACCCGGAGAAGAAGCCCCGGCUAACUUCGUG
rnacentral:rRNA from 1 species